rnacentral:rRNA from 1 species
AUUGAACGCUGGCGGCAGGCUUAACACAUGCAAGUCGAGCGGACGAGGUUGCUUCGGUAACUGAGCUAGCGGCGGACGGGUGAGUAAUGCUUAGGAUUCUGCCUAUUAGUGGGGGACAACAUCUCGAAAGGGAUGCUAAUACCGCAUACGUCCUACGGGAGAAAGCAGGGGACCUUCGGGCCUUGCGCUAAUAGAUGAGCCUAAGGCGGAUUAGCUAGUUGGUGGGGUUAAGGCCUAUCAAGGCGACGAUCUGUAGCGGGUCUGAGAGGAUGAUCCGCCACACUGGGGCUGGGAAACGACCCAGACUCCUACGGGAGGCAGCAGGGCGGAAUAUUGGACAAUGGCGGGAACCCUGAUCCAGCCAUGGCGCGUGUGUGAAGAAGGCCUUUUGGUUGUAAAGCACUUUAAGCGAGGAGGAGGCUACCGAGAUUAAUACUCUUGGAUAGUGGACGUUACUCGCAGAAUAAGCACCGGCUAACUCUGUGCCAGCCGCCGCGGUAACAC